UUCCGGUUGAUCCCGCCGGAGGUUACUGCUAUCGGAGUUCGAUUAAGCCAUGCGAGUCUAAAGGUUUCUUCGGAAGCCUUGGCGGACUGCUCAGUAACACGUGGAUAACCUACCCUUGGGACUGGAAUAACCCCGGGAAACUGGGGAUAAUACCGGAUAGAUCAGGGAUGCUGGAAUGCGCCCUGAUCCAAAGCUCCGGCGCCCAAGGAUGGGUCUGCGGCCUAUCAGGUUGUAGUGGGUGUAACGUACCUACUAGCCGACGACGGGUACGGGUUGUGAGAGCAAGAGCCCGGAGAUGGAUUCUGAGACACGAAUCCAGGCCCUACGGGGUGCAGCAGGCGCGAAACCUUUACAAUGUGCGAAAGCAUGAUAAGGGAACUCCGAGUGCCAGCAUCUAAUACUGGCUGUCCUUGUGCCUAAAACGCACAAGAUAGCAAGGGCCGGGUAAGACCGGUGCCAGCCGCCGCGGUAACACCGGCGGCCCGAGUGGUAGCCGCUAUUAUUGGGUCUAAAGGGUCCGUAGCCGGUUCGAUAAGUCCUCUGGGAAAUCUGGUUGCUUAACAAUCAGGCUGCCAAGGGAUACUGUCGAACUUGAGACCGGGAGAGGUAAGAGGUACUUCAGGGGUAGGAGUGAAAUCUUGUAAUCCCUGGGGGACCAUCUGUGGCGAAGGCGUCUUACCAGAACGGGUCUGACGGUGAGGGACGAAAGCUGGGGGCGCAAACCGGAUUAGAUACCCGGGUAGUCCCAGCCGUACACGAUGCUCGCUAUGUGUCAGGUACGGUGUGACCGUAUCUGGUGCCGUAGGGAAGCCGUGAAGCGAGCCACCUGGGAAGUACGGUCGCAAGACUGAAACUUAAAGGAAUUGGCGGGGGAGCACUACAACGGGUGGAGCCUGCGGUUUAAUUGGAUUCAACGCCGGG
rnacentral:rRNA from 1 species